UACGUAGGGUGCGAGCGUUGUCCGGAAUUAUUGGGCGUAAAGGGCUCGUAGGCGGUUUGUCGCGUCGGGAGUGAAAACCCAGGGCUUAACCCUGGGCUGGCUUCCGAUACGGGCAGACUAGAGGUAUGCAGGGGAGAACGGAAUUCCUGGUGUAGCGGUGAAAUGCGCAGAUAUCAGGAGGAACACCAAUGGCGAAGGCAGCUCGCUGGGACGGUACUGACGCUGAGACGCGAAAGCGUGGGGGAGCAAACAGG
rnacentral:rRNA from 1 species